CUUACUUUAAAAAACUAGAAAAAACUAAGAGAGAUUAUUUGCUGGUAGCUUUGGUGUUUCGCCUUUUCUGUGUGUUCAGAAUGAAAAGACUAGGUGUCUAUUUAUAUGGGUAUGAGUUACUUGAUCACAAAUAAAUAAUCUUGCGAAAAAGUAAAAGAAUAUUCUUGAAUAGAACUAUACCAACAUAACAUAAUUAAUUGAGAAGUAUUCUAUUAUUAUUUGGACGCAACUUUACAUUUAUCCAAGCACAUUAUAGGAAAUAUUCUACAACUAUUUGAACGCAAUCUUUACAUUACUCUUAAAUAAUAUUGGAAACCUACCAUAAUUAUUUGAGAGUAAUUUUGUAAGAUUUAUCAUUUUUUCAUAAUUCAAAUACCCAUGUUACUUCAUAAUAAACAGAUUUUUCCACAACCCAUUAAGCUUAUAAAAACUAUAUUCACAUUAAUUUAAUUUUUUACUCAGCCCAUUAGGCUUAUAAAAAAUAGUUCCAACAAUUGCGGUCUGGGUUCACCAAGCCAUGUAUGAUAGAUUAAGCACAUGCCAUGGGAUUCUAAUCAUAUUUGAUAUCCCUAACAUAUGAAAAACACAUUAUGAUAAAAUCAUCUUGAUAGGUGAUCAAAACGCAUUGAAAGGUCCAUCAUAUUCACCUCCUCUAUCACUUUUGACUAUUUUGAUAUUCACCUCCUC
rnacentral:lncRNA from 1 species